rnacentral:lncRNA from 1 species
AAGUUAGUCAUUUUUGACUUAGAAAAUGUUGGGAUGUCAGCUCUGCUUUACAGUUUACUCAAGGAAUUUCUGUUGAAAAAUAUGAUAUUGUACGAUACAAGAUUCUUAUAAGAAAGCAUGCUGAGGUAGAUGUGCAACAGUGUAUGCUUGAAAUCCAGGAUGCUGCAGGAACAGAACAACUUACAACAAUGGGAAAUUUGUACAUGCAGGCUGGACAAGGCUUUGCUUUGGUUUAGUCCGUCACAGCCCAGUGCACAUUUAAAGACUGACACCAUCUGAGAGAACUGAUUCUUCGGGUCAAAGACACUGGUGAAGUUCCAGUGACUCUGGUUGGUAAUAAAUGUGACUUGGAAGAUGAAAUACUUGUAGGAAAGGAACAAGGUCAAAACCUAGUAAGGCAAUGGAGCCUCUGUGCGUUCUUAGAAUCCUCUUCAAAAUCCAGAAUAAAUGUUAAGGAAAUCUCGUGCAGUAGAUUAACAGAAAAACUCUAGUGCCUGGGAAGGCACAGAAAAAAAAUCAUCAUGCCAGCUGCUUUAA